ACCUGAAUGGCUUAGUUGUUUAAGCAUCCAACUUUGGCUCAGGUCAUGAUUUCACGGUUUGUGGGUUCAAGUCCCACAUCAGGCU
rnacentral:tRNA from 1 species